rnacentral:lncRNA from 1 species
GUCAUUAGCACUGAAUAUAACUCGUGGACUAUUCAUCGAAGAAUCGUUUCACAUUGUCACACUCCCUACCCGCCAUCAGUGUGCUGCGUUGUGUUUACACUUCAGCCUGUGUAAGUCAGCGAACUAUGAUCAAGAAGCAAAGACAUGCUAUCUACAUCAACACAAUACUGACACGGAUCCCUUCGUUGAUGUCAGUGCAAAGAGCAGUAUGUACUACAUGGACUAUAGAGAUAUUCCAAAGUUUCUGGCUGGAGCCUGCAGUAGUCACAAUUGUUCCGUGUACGAUAAGUGCGUCCCUACCUCGGAAAAGGACUACAUGUGUCUGCCUGUCCUUAUUAGUGCCAUUGAAUGCCAUGCUUGGACGUCAGUAGAAAUGACUGGUAUGGUCGAGGAAGGACGUAGCCUCGCGACGAGAAUACGGUAUUGUGAAUUGGUAGAACAUCGAAUUUUCUACGGUAAUAGCCCUCUGAAGCCCAAGGGGUGUGGUACGUGCUUCUGUUGUAAACUCACCUUCAGCAGUGGACCCUUCUACCACCCCUGACCCCAAGACAUUCCCUGUGUGUAUUGUUCUUAACCGAUACAAGUGUGAAACCGGAAGUUGCACCAUGUCAGUGUUGUAUUUAUGCACACAUCUCUUUAUCAACUUCAAAGGACACAGUGUGAUGCGAAAGUCGUUUUCUAUUUUUGACUUUGGGUACCGAAUGGAUUUAAACCUACUUACUCUGUUUAAACAAUUGGUUAUUGAAAUAAGAAUGGAUGUUUGCAUGGAGAUUACAUUCAAUUAUAAUAUGAUAUUCGUCUUCUAUGAGACAUAUAUUUUACGAAAUACUUAAAAAACCUCAUUCAGUCUUGAACCUCGCUUAGUAAGGCAAGGUAAAGUUGGACAGUUAUUCGUUAUUCGUUAUUCGUUAUUCGUUAUUCGGAAUAACGAAUAACUGUCUAACUUUACUUUCCGGGGGGCGAAAGUAAAGUUGAACAGUUAUUCGUUAUUCAAAAUUUUACAGAAAAAUGACGUUUUUUCUUGUCGGUCGAUUUUGAAUCUGUUCGAUGAUUUAUGCUCUAUUCUUUGUUUAUUUUCUGUAUUUUCCUUCUUUAAUUUCACCUAAGACCGUCCUGUACACUUCCCUUUUCUCUAGACGGUCAAAUAUGUCCUAUUUGCUACUGUAGUUGUGAUAUUCAAGCUUAUAAGGGGACACUUGUUAUAUGUAUUAGUCGAACUUUUACUAUAUGACUAUUGUACAUUUGUAUGUAAUAUGUCUGUGGGAAUUGUUCUUGAAAGAAAGAUUGGCACAUGCUAUUAACUGUAAAAUUUCUGUUCAAAGUAUCCUUACCUUAUUCAUUGGUUACUUGUUUGUGUCUAACUAUACUAUUGAACAAUAGUUGUGUGUUCAAAAAACAAAAUGUUGCUCUAAUCUAAACUUCUUCAUUCUAAUAUUUUUUUUGCAAAUAUUGCUCAUUGUUAUGAUCUUAAUGUAUUACACAUAAUAUUUAUCACAUUGACUGGCAGUCAAUUAAUUGGUUUUUAAUCAUGCGAAAGAAAUACUGGUAUGCCGAAUAUUCCACUUCUACACUUAAAGUAAUCUUGUCCUAUCAUUGUAUUAAUUUGAUGUCAAUCGCAAGUCUAAAAUAUAUUUGGUCACAAUAACACAAAUGUUCAAUAUUUUAUUUAUUAUGUUAAAUAUGUCAUUAAAAGCACUAUCCUGUAAAAUCCAAUAGAGAUGACUGUCAUAAAAUAUUCAUGAAGUUUUUUCUUGUGAAGCGAGCAUGAUAACCUAUACGCGUUUUGGAGUCAAUAUAAACGUAUUGUUUUUACGGUUUUUUGUGUGGCAUGAAUUCCAUCGACAUAACGGUAAUAUACGACCAUUUCAAUUAUAACCCUUUCUUAAUUCUACCGUUGAGUGUCCUCUUACUGCUUGAUAAAUUGUUAAUAUAUGAAACUAAAAUUUCAAAAGAAAGCUGAGCAUUUUGAGAGUUCGAACAAUUUCGAUAAAAACAUAAUUCUGCUGAUGAUAUUGAUUUUUUUUAUUUGAUUGCCUACCACAGUUUUGCAAUGUUAAUUACAAAUUUAUUAUCCAAGGUUUGUAUUACUUAAAAUCUUAAAAGAAAGUUCUGACUUUGCUCAGUUGUGCUCCUUGAUGUACAUGGUGGGCUCUAUUAUUAAACAACAUUUUUAAAUUGUCAUUAAUUGGCUUUUCAUUAUGAUAUCAAGAUAUUUGAAAAUUUGUUCGAGGUGCAAUUCAUUCCAGAGUCAUAUGUGACAAUGACAGUAAGAAUGAAAUCCGUCCCUUAUCCAUGUCUAUCCCGUCAGGGAGUUUAGCUCUUUGAACCCAUUUUCAGUUUUUAUUCUGAAUAUACAAAAAUGUAUAUAUAUAUAUAUAUCUGUGCUGUACCAUUUCAUAGUCAUGCGCAUAACGCUAUUUUAUACUAAGCCCAUCCCUGUCAGAAUAUCACUUAGUUGCCUUUUAUGUCUAUUCAAUAAGUUUGAUGGUUUCGUGAAAUCCAUGCCUUUUAUAAUUCUAUUACGUCAUUCUACAUUAUAGGUUGUUAAUCAUUUUUAUCUUCAAUCUGUUUCGAUGUUAAGAGUGUGCAUCUCAUUACUCAGAAUAUUUCAUCAGUUUCAUUUUAUAUGGAUAUUUAAGCCCCUGUCACACCUAGCCGCGUUGCCACUGCGAUUGCACGGCGUUGUUAAAUUUCCCAUAGCGCCGUGAGAUCGCAGGAAAAAUUGAUAUUUUUCAUAAAGAUGUCGAUGUCACGGCAUUCUCACGGCGAUCUUGGCGUUUCUACGGAGCUCCAUGGCGUUCUACCGCGUUCCUACGGAGUUUUAGUUGGCGAUUGUCUGCGCUCUCAUGGCGCUCUCACGGCGCUUCCACUGCGUGCAUCGAGUUGUCACGGCACCGUAUAAGCCCGGUAGAGACGCAGUGUCAUCUCAGAAACGCCAUACGAUCGCCGUGCAAGCGCCACCGAUAACCAUUGCGUUCGCACUGCGACCUCUGUGCGCGCCCGCGGCGAUUCUGUGGCAUUGUAGGAGACCUAACUGCGCUGCUACGGCGACCUCACGGCGAUCCCACUGCGCUCUGAUCAAAACGCCGAACGACGGCGUUUGUUUUGGGCAUGCUCAAAGUGCGCGCCGUCGCUCGGCGUUCUUUGUGAUCCCAUCGCGUUCACUGGCGAUGCCACUGCGUUGCCGCGGCGAUGCUUGCGAUUCCACUGCGUUCUGGAUUUUUCUUGGACGCCGUGGGAACGCGGCCCAAGUGUGACAGGGGUUUUAAUAAACUGUAAGGGCAAUGCAUAGGAAAAUAGCUUAUGUACCUGAUACAGUGUAUAUAUUCUUAAAUAGUAUUUUUGUUCACUAUUCAUUCAAAUAAUUCCUUAAUUAAGUUAAUGUGUUGUGUAUAAUCAUGUCCAUAUGCCCAUGCAAGAAUAAUGACCGUACGACUGAAUGUGCAUGGAUAAAAUAGAUACACAUGUUUCAAGUCUUAAUGUUGUUUUUUCAUUAAGGUUAAAACAUGUAUCUGAAGAUUAUACGCAACGGUGACAUCAGGAUGGAGCGUUUGUCGAAUGCGUAAAACCUGAGUGUAUUAUGAUAUUCUUCCAAAAAAAUAAUCAAACACAAGAGCACCGGGAUCAAUAUAAAUCAACAAAAAUGUCUAUGCAAAUUCAUAUUUGUGACCGCUUUUUUUUUUUUUUUUUUAUUAAAAUCGAUAACUACGUAUAAAUGAUUUUGUUCCAUCUAUCACAUGUGGAACCUUUCAAAAGAUGGACAUUUACAUCCGUUCUAGAUAUUUCCAAAUUCUGUGUGCCAUCUAUUUACCAAUAAAAUUUCAACUUCAUUUUCCUGGUCAAACUCUUGUUAAAUACCUUUUUAAAUCCUAAUUAAACUUAUUGUAAACGGUUUUUGCCAGACCCCACUUUCUGGAACCAUUCAAG